rnacentral:rRNA from 1 species
GGGACUAGUCCUARCAGGUUUAAACRAAAUUCNGCCCUUUGCCAGCAGCCCGCGNGUAAUACGAAGGAUCCUAGCGUUGUCCGGAUUUACUGGGUUUAAAGGGUGCGUAGGCGGACUUCUAAGUCAGUGGUGAAAGCCGGCAGCUUAACUGUCGAAUUGCCAUUGAAACUGGAAGUCUCGAGUAUGGUUGAGGUAGUUGGAAUGUGUCAUGUAGCCGGUGAAAUGCUUAGAUAUGAUACAGAACGCCAAUUGCGAAGGCAGAUUACUAAACCAUAACUGACGCUKAGGCACAGAAAGCGUGGGGAUCAAACAGGAUUAGAUACCCUGGUAGUCC